rnacentral:rRNA from 1 species
UACGUAGGGGGCAAGCGUUGUCCGGAAUUACUGGGCGUAAAGCGCGUGUAGGCGGAUGGGCAAGUCUGCUGUGAAAGCUCCUGGCUUAACCGGGAGUGGUCGGUGGAAACUGCCAAUCUGGAGGACGGUAGAGGUAGGUAGAAUUCCCGGUGUAGUGGUGAAAUGCGUAGAGAUCGGGAGGAAUACCUGUGGCGAAGGCGGCCUACUGGGCCGGACCUGACGCCGAGACGCGAAGGCGUGGGGAGCGAACGGG